UUACGGCUAUAUCACGUUGAAACACCGGUUCUCUUACGAUGACUGAUGUUAAGCAACGUUGAGCUUGGUCAGUACCUAAAUGGGUGACCACUUGGGUAAUACCAGGUGCUGUAAG